rnacentral:rRNA from 1 species
GGGCCCGCAUAAGCGGUGGAGCAUGUGGUUUAAUUCGAUGAUACGCGAGGAACCUUACCAGGACUUAAAUGUAAGUUGCAUGAUUCAGAAAUGAAUCUUUCUUCGGACUACUUACAAGGUGCUGCAUGGUUGUCGUCAGCUCGUGCCGUGAGGUGUCAGGUUAAGUCCUAUAACGAGCGCAACCCCUAUCGUUAGUUGCCAGCGGGUAAUGCCGGGAACUCUAGCGAAACUGCCGGUGCAAACCGUGAGGAAGGUGGGGAUGACGUCAAAUCAUCACGGCCCUUACGUCCUGGGCUACACACGUGCUACAAUGGUCGGUACAGAGAGCAGCCACUACGCGAGUAGGAGCGAAUCUUCAAAACCGAUCUCAGUUCGGAUCGCAGUCUGCAACUCGACUGCGUGAAGCUGGAAUCGCUAGUAAUCG